GGGUAUGGAGUGGAUGUUGUUGUGAUCUGUGAACCGAAAGACGCUCCAUUGACAAACUCUAGGUAGGAAGAACCGUUUUUGGAUAUAUAUCGUAUCUGAGGACCAUUGUAAACUGCUUUAUGCACAAUGGCCUUUUUCUUGACUUCCUCUUCCCUUGCUAGAACCCGCUCCAAAUUCCUCAGAUUCAUGACCUCUGUUUGAGCUGCUUCAAGAAGCAUCUCUUCUUGAGUCAUCUUCUUUUCCUCGCCUUCCUUUUUUCUUUUUAUAGG
rnacentral:misc_RNA from 1 species